rnacentral:rRNA from 1 species
ACGGGAGGCAGCAGUAAGGAAUAUUGCACAAUGGAGGAAACUCUGAUGCAGCGACGCCACGUGAUGGAUGAAGGUCUUCGGAUUGUAAACAUCUUUCAGUAGGGAAGAAGCGAAAGUGACGGUACCUACAGAAGAAGCACCGGCUAACUACGUGCCAGCCGCCGCGGUAAUACGUAGGGUGCAAGCGUUAUCCGGAAUUAUUGGGCGUAAAGAACUCGUAGGUGGUCUGUAGCGUCUGAUGUGAAAACUCGCGGCUCAACCGUGAGCCUGCAUCGGGUACGGGCAGACUAGAGUAUGGUAGGGGAGAUUGGAAUUCCUGGUGUAGCGGUGGAAUGCGCAGAUAUCAGGAAGAACACCGAUAGCGAAGGCAGAUCUCUGGGCCAUAACUGACGCUGAGGAGUGAAAGCGUGGGGAGCAAACAGGAUUAGAUACCCUGGUA